CUGAGGGCAGGGAAUGGGACCAAGAUGUGCAGAGGUGGCCCAGAGGAAGGGAGGAUGGAGAAAAAGGGCUCCUGGCCUGCAAGUCCUAUUUGGAGGAUGGAACAGGGGCCAUACCUGUCAGGAUCUCCGAGAAUUGGACUUAGAACUCAUCUAGCCCAACUGCUUAAAGUUUUUUGUUAUUUUAGUUUUAAAAUCUACUUUGCUGAAGUACAAUUUACAUGUGAAAGAAGCAUUGAUUUUAAGUAUUCAGGUCUGGGAGUGUCCACAAAUGGAUCCAUCCAUGUGACUAUUCUCACAAUCAGAAUAUAGAACACUUCCAUGGUCCCCAAAUUCCAUUGUGCCCCUUUUACAGUGAGACCCCAUAUUAGUCAGGAUUCUCCAGGGAAACAGAACCAAUAGGAUAUAUACAGAUAGACAUAAAAGGAAAUUCAUCAUAGGAACUGACUCAUGCAGUUAUGGAGGCAAUAACUCUCAUAACCUUCCAUCUGUAAACUGGAGACCUAGGACAGCCAGUGGUGUAAUUUAACACAAGUCCAAGGGCUUGAGAACAUGGGGAGCUGAUGGUAUAAGUCCCCAUCCGAUUCUGGAUGUCCAAGAGCCAGGAGCGCCAAAGGAGGAGGGCAGGAGAAGAAGGAUAUCCCAGCUCAGAUAAGGACACAGAGGCUCGGAGAAGAAAAGCAAGCCACUGAAGGUUGCCCAGUGAGGAAACAGGUUCCGUCAUUGCCCAGGCACAUGACUAAGAAGUAGAGAAGGUCAAAUCCCAGCCUGGAUCUAGCUGACCCUGAAGUCCACGGUUUCACCCAAUACUCUGUGGUGAUGGAAGUGAAGCUCAGAAUGAAUGAAGAACCAAAUGAAGACCAGACAGCCAGAGUCAACCAGCCUGGACACUGCCUUGCAUGCUGUGCGUUGUGGCAUAGGGGAAAGAGCUUAAUGUUGGAGUCAAAUCUGGGUUCCAAUCCAUCUCUUAAACUUAGCAGCUGGAUGAGCUUGGCAAGGUCUGAGUCACCAAUGUCCAAUGUGAUUUGGGUCAGAGGAUCAGGGCCUGUCGGUUCAACCUCCCCUUUGUCCUGAGAUGCUUCCCCAGGGCAUGGCAUAGUUGGAAAACCAGUCCCCUGGAAGAAAGUUUUGGUGCCUGUUGAAAUAAAGUGGCUUCUGGAGGAGCUGGCUUGAAUCACUCAUACCUCCAUGGGAACAAGUCUUCCAGAGCUGGCUUGGGUAAGGAGGAGCUCCUGUCUGAAGGUCUUGCUGCCAAGGAUGCCCUCUAGGGAGCACUGUGGGAGAGGGGCUGUCUGGGGAAGGUGGCUGUGUUUCUUUCCCCUUCCAUACAGUUUAGUUUCCUCCCAGUCCCAGAUGGCCAACUGAGCCAUCCUCUGCUGCCACAGACCUCCUCCCAUGUGAAGAUUCCAGCUCUGACCAAACAAGGUUCUUCUAUAUCUGGCCUGUCUCAGUUCUUCCACCUGGAUCUCCCUUCCCCCUUUGCAUCUACAUUAUACAUUCCAGCAAGUUCUCAAACAUUCUCUGAGCAUACAAUACAGUUUUACAACUCGAUGCCUUGCACCUUGAACAUUGGCUAAAAGGGAGGUGAGAGUCUCCAUUUCUUAUCGGCCAACCCCUUGUCCAGAAUCUCCAGGCUGAGAAACUACUUUCCUCUGCUUUUCCCAGUGGGUGAGGUCUUGAAUCAGGGCCAGAGGGACUCCAGAAAUUCUCCCUAUCUUAGUCACUUUUCUCCCCAUUGACCCCACAGCUGGCCAGAGAGGGAAGUGGAAACUCCCUAGUGUGGGGGGACUUCUAACCUUUGCUCUCUGUGCAGGGACAAGAUGGAGACUCAGCACAAUUCCACUCCCUUCCCUUCCCAGCCCUAUCCUGGGAUGGGAGGGACAGAAGAACAGUGCAGGGGGCAGAGGUUGGGAACUGGUCUGGGGAGGCUGAGGAAGGUGUGGAGGUUGGAGGAAGGGAACUGACAUCUAACAUUUACAGAGAACUACUGAGCUCCAGCACCCAUUGCAGAUUUUAUUUGUUACCACCCCAACUGUCAUCUUAACCCCCAAAAGGUAUUCAAGCCCUGGAGUUAGCUGUGGCAUCUGGAUGGAAAAGGCUGCAAGCAAAAGAAGGUGGAAAGAUCCAGAAUCAGUUAGGAAUCCAGGUUACACUGCUUGCUGCUGUGUUUCCAGGUCUAUCUGGUACAUACUGGCUGAUCAACAAAUAUCUGUGCAAUGAAAUUAUUAGCUGUGUGACUUUGGGAAAAUUUUUUAACUUGCCUCAAUGCCCUCACAGUGAAAUGCUGGUCAUACUGUGGGGCUUCAAUUUGAGAAGAUUAAAUGAACAAAGAGGGGAAAGCCUGGAGAUGUGCAGAAUGAGCUCAACAAUAAUUAGUUGACAAUAAAAAUCAAAGUCCUGCUAUGAUCUGGCUGGGAUGAAAUUCUGGAUCAUGGAAAAGAUAUGGAAACUGGGGCACACUGAGAUGCAAACACUGCAUGCUGAUAGCCACAUGGUACUGCCUCAGGGAUCUAGUCCAUCAAGAGAGUGGCUGGAGAGUGGCUGGGAGACUGAGAGGUUCCCAAGAGGCCAUUGGAAGAUUCUGGCUCUGGGGGAAUUUAGUAUUCACCUGCCCAGGUGAGGAGAGCCCAGGGUCUGAAACAGAGGGCAAGGAAAUGAAUGCAGCUGAAAGUGGGAGGCAGAACAAGUCUUAGGAAAGCAAGUUCAAGCAGUAGGAGCAGUUCAAGCAGUAGAAGCAAUGAUUUGAAGCAAGGGGAUAGUGGCUGCUGAUGGCCAGGGAGGGUUUUGGAUGACUGAUAGCUUUAAAAUUUGAUGUAGAAAAUCCAGUUCUUGGGGCACCUGGGAGGCUCAGUCGGUUGAGUGUCCGACUUCAG